rnacentral:lncRNA from 1 species
AGUAAUUGCGACUUACUUGUUACAGCAGAAGCUUCAAGGUAGGAAAUCUAUGACCCAAAGCUCUCUCUCGAAAGUUAGAAUGUUUAAACUGAUCUUUAAAACUGUUGUUGAGGGGCAAUUUAUUUAAAAGCUUUUAUUUUAUGGUGUUGUUAGUGCUUAGCAUGCCUCAGGAUAAAGACUAGUUUUAUUGCAGGACCCUUGAGAAGAGGGGUGUAUAGCAAGUAACCAGUUUUCCGUGUGCCAGUAAGCAACAGUGAGAACACUCAGUGUAUUAGCUUAACUUUUUGUGGGAGUUAAAUUGAUGUUGGCAGGCUUUGCCUUUAAGGAAGUUCUUUUAAAUUUCCAUUUUCUUGAAGUUGGUUUGAUUGGCAGAUUUCCCCCCUCUCUUAAGGAUACAAUGAAACAUAUUCACUUCUCUUAUGAAAAUAUUCUUUUAAUAAACUACAUUCCCAUCCCCUAGAAAAAUGCCCAGCACACAGUAGGGGUACAAUAAAUGGUUUCAGAUUAAUUUCUUGUUAAAAUUAAUGAACUCUCUGCUUCUUUACUUGUAUAUGUAGAAUUUACACUCAUUGGAAUAAUAAAAUAGAAGUAAGCAACCGUGCAUUAAAAAGCUAUGAAAAGAUGAAGAGAAUAUGCCUUCAAAUGGGAAGGAAUACUUAACUGUGAAUAAGACCUAGUUCAACAUGGAACUUCCUGGUGGCCAAGUCAGAAGAGAAGCACAGAACAAAAACGGAGGCACAGAGAGGUCAAUUGAUUGGUCUAAUGACACAGAUCUAGCAAGUGGUGGAACCAGGACUGAAUCCAGGUGUGUGUCCGGAAUUGGUGGGUUCUUGGUCUCACUGACUUCAAGAAUGAAGCCGCGGACCCUUGCGGAACUGUGAAGACUAGAGUGACCUUGGAGAUCUCAUCUGGAAGAUGGUAGAACUGCUAUCAGCCUGGCUUCCCAAAUGACCUCCUGGAUCACAGCUACCCAUGGCCUGAAAUGUUGACCUUGGAGUUGUUGCAUAGGAAAGAAAUAAACUUCUUUGUUCUUUGAGCCACAUAGUUAUCACAUAUCUUCUUAAAGCCACUUACCCACUUGUUCUAUCUCAUUCAGCUCUGAAAUUCUGUUUAAUUUCUAGAGUCAAAACAUUCAUUUGUUUCUUCUUUAUUUAACAAGAAUCAAUUACUUAUUUUAUGGAAGCCACUAUUCCAAAGAGAAGAAUCAUAAAAACAUUAGCCUUAUGGAUCUUUUGUCCUGGGAACAACACAGAGUGGAGACUACUGGAAUUUUUAAUAAAGUUCCUUUCCUGGGCAGUGCCAGUCCAGACCUAAUUUCCAGACUUAGUUAAGAUUAGACCAGUGUGCUGAAGAAUCAAAACAUCUAGAUAUUUUCCUUGCUCCAUUCUGCUUACAGCCCCACAAAAACUACUCACCCCACAGGGUUUCUUGCUUGAGAUUCCAGACAAUUCCUGUAUGUUUUAUUAGAAUACACUCUGUGUUUCAUCCAACUAGGAAGCCUUUGGCUCCGACUUAAAGCAUUAAGAACGGACCACUUUGGUAUGGAAAAUUAUCAGUUUUGGGGGAAAAGCCCCUGUUUCUCUGAUCUGUGCUCUGAAUUUGGCAGCUUUGUAGGCUUUCUCAAAGAGCCGCAACUGUGAACCAUGUCAUGUUGUCAUUAUCUCUGAUAUGCUCUGUGCAUUGGAAAUCCUGUGUGAGACUGGCAGGGGACAGAGGGAAUGAAGAAAUCACAUUCAUCAGAACAAGCUGCUCAACUUCCUUAAGUAAGGAGUUUGUCUAACAUCCAGUGGUUUCCUCUGACAGAGUGUGUACUUUCUUAACAUACGGACAAGAUUAGUACAUAGCCAGAAUGACUGUCUGCAGGUCCUAGGCUGCUUUUCAGAGGCAGCUUUAAUCUUCCUAAUUGAAUAUUUAGCUUUUCUAGGCCUGCACAAAAUGUAAAUCACAAUGUUUACAAUCUGUGAAAUAAUAGGAGAGUACAUAAUGUCAUUGCAAUAUUUUGUAAUCACUGUUAAAUGACUA